rnacentral:rRNA from 1 species
AUACUCCUACGGGAGGCAGCAGCGGGGAAUGUUGCGCAAUGGAUGGAAGUCAGACGCAGCGACGCCGCGUGGGUGAGGAAGGCCUUCGGGUUGUAAAGCCCUUUUCAGGGGAGCGAGAAAGGACGGUACCCUUGGAAUAAGCGUCGGCUAACUACGUGCCAGCAGCCGCGGUAAGACGUAGGACGCAAGCGUUAUCCGGAUUUACUGGGCGUAAAGCGCCUGUAGGCGGUCAAGUAAGUCGGAUGUGAAAGCCCCGUGCUCAACGCGGGGAAGCCAUUCGAUACUGCGUGACUAGAGAACGGCAGAGGGAAACGGAAUUUCUGGUGUAGCGGUAAAAUGCGCAGAGAUCAGAAAGAACACCGAUGGCGAAGGCAGUUUCCUAGGCCGCAUCUGACGCUGAGAGGCGAAAGCUAGGGGAGCAAACAGGAUUAGAGACCCUGGUAGUCCUAGCUGUAAACGAUGGAUGCUAGGUGUGGGCCGGAAAGGUCCGUGCCGUAGUUAACGCGAUAAGCAUCCCGCCUGGGGAGUACGGCCGCAAGGCUAAAACUCAAACGAAUUGACGGGGACCCGCACAAGCAGCGGAGCGUGUGGUUUAAUUCGAUGCUACACGCAGAACCUUACCUGGGCUUGACAUCUGGGUGGUAGUGAAGUGAAAGCGGAGCGACCCUUCGGGGAGCAUACACAGGUGCUGCAUGGCUGUCGUCAGCUCGUGCCGUGAGGUGUCGGGUUAAGUCCCGUAACGAGCGCAACCCUUGUCCUUAGUUACAAGUGUCUAAGGAGACUGCCGGUGACAAACCGGAGGAAGGUGGGGAUGACGUCAAGUCAGCAUGGCCCUUAUGUCCAGGGCGACACACACGCUACAAUGGUCGGUACAAUGGGCAGCGCAGCCGCGAGGUGAAGCGAUCCCAACAAAGCCGAUCCCAGUUCGGAUUGCAGGCUGCAACCCGCAUGCAUGAAGCCGGAGUUGCUAGUAACCGCGCGUCAGCCAUAGUGCGGUGAAUACGUUCCCGGGUCGUGUACACACCGCCCGUCACG